rnacentral:lncRNA from 1 species
AAAUCUGGUCUGAAACUCAGUGAAAUAUAUUUGGCAGAUGGAUGGACAGAUGGAUGGUGGCAGCCAACCCAAUGGUACGCCCAACCCAAGAGCCAUCCCUUAAUCUGUGUAAACUUUGCAUUCUUCAAAAAUGUUAAAUUAACUUGAAAUGAAAGAAUAGGAUGUGAGACGUGAGUCCCUGCAAGCACAGCAUCAUUGGAGCUCAUUGUACAGUGAUUAAAUAGAAACAAUUCCUUGUGUUAAAAGAAAUCACCAUUUAAUAAGCUAGGAAGGACAAUACAUCUCUAGUAGUUAAGAAUCUACAUUUGUGAAUGGAAAUCUAUUGUAUUUAUCAGUUCAUAAGGAUGUAUGAUGAAGCAAGCUUCCAGACUGUAGAUGCAAGGCUUUGACCCCUACAAGGCAAUAAUUAAUUAAUACUCAGCUGUUGUUUUCUUCCUGCAGGUUAUCUGCACUCUGUGAGCCUCCCUGGUGGACCUUCCCAGCCCAACCCAAGCACCUGGAUGAGCCCAGCCCUGCUGUUCUAGAAGAGUCUGCACAGCAGUGUUCAGCCAAGCGGUGUGUGCAUACUGUUUGCAACCAGCCAUCAGCAGAAAGCAGCAUAUGGAAAAUUCUGAUUGGAAACAUAUGGAAUGUUACAUCAGAAACAGACUUCUCCUUCUCUGUGGAUGACGAUGUGCUCCACUAACAACUGUUUGGGGAUACAGUGGGGAAAAUGAAUUUCCUCUUUAGCAGAACACCACCUCAGCCCUGUGGAUCAGUAACUUCAGUAGGACUGUGGUCUCCACCACUGGCAGCACACGACCACAUUUUGCCACCUGUGACUUACUUAUCUUGAUUCACUUAUUUCCUAUUACUAAUUACUCAAUGAAGUGGUUAGUUAUGUAUUUGGCACAGCUCUCCUUUUUCAAGACCUUGACACCACCCGCACAUCACCAGCUCUGAAUCAGUGUUCACAGCCCUCAGCCAGGUUAAGUUGUCACUAGGUGUAAAAUGGGACUGUUACAGUAAAACAAUUUCUUACAUUUUCCUUCCUAAAGCAAAUUGUUUGAAACAUUUCCCACUUCAUGUCCUACCAGUAACUGGCUGAAUCUGCUUGCCCUGCCUGUGAUUGUGUUUGUUUGCUACUGCCAAGGACACAAAGGGAAGCCA